rnacentral:rRNA from 1 species
CCUGUGAACAUACCUAAACGUUGCUUCGGCGGGAACAGACGGCCCCGUAACACGGGCCGCCCCCGCCAGAGGACCCCCUAACUCUGUUUCUAUAAAUGUUUUUUCUGAGUAAACAAGCAAAUAAAUUAAAACUUUCAACAACGGAUCUCUUGGCUCUGGCAUCGAUGAAGAACGCAGCGAAAUGCGAUAAGUAAUGUGAAUUGCAGAAUUCAGUGAAUCAUCGAAUCUUUGAACGCACAUUGCGCCCGCCAGUAUUCUGGCGGGCAUGCCUGUUCGAGCGUCAUUACAACCCUCAGGCCCCCGGGCCUGGCGUUGGGGAUCGGCGGAGCCCCCCGUGGGCACACGCCGUCCUCCAAAUACAGUGGCGGUCCCGCCGCAGCUUCCAUUGCGUAGUAGCUAACACCUCGCAACUGGAGAGCGGCGCGGCCACGCCGUAAAACACCCAACUUCUGAAUGUUGACCUCGAAUCAGGUAGGAAUACCCGCUGAACUUAAGCAUAUCAAUAAGCGGAGGGAAAAGAAAACCGAA